AGCAGCCGCGGUAAUUCCAGCUCCAAUAGCGUAUAUUAAAGUUGUUGCAGUUAAAAAGCUCGUAGUUGAAUUUCGGGGUCAGUAAGUUGGUCGUGCCACUGGUAUGUACUGGCUUUACUGAUUCCUCCUUCUUGUAGAACCGUAAUGCCAUUAAGUUGGUGUUGCGGGGAAACAGGACUGUUACUUUGAAAAAAUUAGAGUGUUUAAAGCAAGCUAACGCUUGAAUACAUUAGCAUGGAAUAAUGAAAUAGGACGAGCGAUCCUAUUUUGUUGGUUUCUAGAAUUGACGUAAUGAUUAAUAGGGAUAGUUGGGGGCAUUAGUAUUCAAUUGUCAGAGGUGAAAUUCUUGGAUUUAUUGAAGACUAACUACUGCGAAAGCAUUUGCCAAGGAUGUUUUCAUUAAUCAAGAACGAAAGUUAGGGGAUCGAAGACGAUCAGAUACCGUCGUAGUCUUAACCAUAAACUAUGCCGACUAGGGAUCGGAUGAUGUAAUUUUAUAAUGACUCAUUCGGCGCCUUAC
rnacentral:rRNA from 1 species